UAAAUCCUAAAGGGGAGCUCUAAGAAAUUAGAGAGCUGAGACUUUACCAGUAUAGUAAAGGACCCUUUGAACCUGAUUCGGUUAGCACCGACGUAGGAAUUAGGAACGAAAUGUAC
rnacentral:ncRNA from 2 species